CAAUAGGACAUUUUAAUUAAGGAUGGAUAAGAUGGUGUGAAACAUUGACUACAAAACCCUCUUUUGCAAAAUUUAUUUUGAAAAGCUAUGCAGAAUACUAAUUCUUUUCCAAAUGCUCUAAACCUGAAUUUCCUGGAACAGAACACAUAUAAUUGGAAUGGGAAUGAAAGGGCAAAACAUAAUAAACAUACUUAACAGGCCAUAACCAUUAACUACUAAGGGGUUAAUUAACUACCAGUGACACACUUGUCCCAAACUAAGACCUGGUUGGACUUUUGCACUUCGUCCCACAGAGUAGCUGAGAAUCAUAAAGCUCUUACAGGAUGUUUGCUGUAUGAACAUACUGUAAUGCUCCAAGUAGAAAUGGAAUAUCAAAGGAAAACAAUAUAAGUUGAAAUAAGGACAACAGAACAAACACUGAGUUACAUGAGCUUAUUUAUCAUCCUUCUGACACUACUGGAUUCCUUUUUCCCCAAAGGAAAUUUUCAUUCACUCAACAGCAAGGAAAGACUUACUGGCAAUGCUCAAAUUUGGAAAAACCAGCAAACAUGCAGUACUGUGCAGCAGAUGGCAAGAUGUUCUAGAGAUUCCAUUAAGAGCAUCUUGGUCAUCAUGUGAUGCAAGACAAAAGCAAACACUUGUAGCAGCCAACUGGAAUCAAUUCCUCUACAGUGACAACAGAGAUGGCAACCUACAGCUUGCAGGAACAAAAAGCUGAGAGUGAAAUCACAGGCCACCCACAUAUAUAGAGAUACCCCAAAGAACACAAAUACUCAUUAUUACACACAAGUCACAAGGAAUCAAGGACAGUUGAAAAAGAACCCAUGAUAUGUUAUCUUUCAAGAAGCUUGCUGAGCAGCUUCUAAGAGUUCCUCCUUUAGAGCACACUGAAAUGCCUGAGUUAAAGUACUGCAUGGAUUUCUACAUAUGAUGAGAUGUCAUAAUCAAGAAGACGAGCUACAAUAAGAAGCUACAAACAGCUUGGAUAAUAUUUUCUCAGCAUAGCACUACAUAAGAAAAAAUAGGAAGUCUUGAAGUUACCAGCAGCUACCUUGUUCUUAAGUGGAACACAGUUUCAUCCUGUAAAAGUUACAUAUUUCUAGAAGAAUUUGUAUGUAUUUUCACCUAGCUUGGUUUAAAUACAUAGGAAAUUAACCAGAUGAUUAUCAAGUUUUAACACAAGAGUUUGCCACUAACACUUAAAAACAUCUUGACAUUUCUCAGAAGCAUUUUUCCAUGGUUCAAGCAGCCAGGUUACAGGUUAAAGGGCUGAAUCCUGCAAAUAUUCAGGCUAUAAGCCUAUUUUCUGAAUAUAUAUACUGCUCCAAGUAAGUUUGAAGAACCUUGUCCUAUAUUCCUGGGUUUGAACUCUUUGGCUACAGUAAGCUCUUUCUUACCAUUUCUAACACACAUUGUCAAUACCUAUGUUGUAUAAAAGAAUAUUCUCAGCCCAACAUCCAAUAGCCAUUACAUUUUUAAGUCUUUCUUGAAGCUGGUACCCAUAAUUUAUUUUUGAGAAACCAUUUGCUAAUACAAGCUUUUUCCCCCCAUGCAAAGUGAUCUAUUACUGUCAAAUUUUCUAUGUGACUGUUACACAUCAACAAACUGGAAAGCAACCUAGCUUUUCAAAUUGGAUGUCUUCCUUUAAAUAAACCAUACAAAGAAAAUUAAUGUAUUGCUUUUUCAUUCAAAUGUCUCCCUUCAUGAUCAACGGCUGAUAUUCCCCACAAACAAUUUGUGGUAUCAGAAAGUUUGUCUUUGACAUAAUUCUAAA